rnacentral:rRNA from 1 species
UUCCGGUUGAUCCUGCCGGACCCGACCGCUAUCGGGGUGAGGCUUAGCCAUGCGAGUCGGAUGUCUUGGGGAUCCGCCAGGGCAUGGCGGACGGCUCAGUAACACGUGGCCAACCUACCCUAGGGAGGGGAAUAACCCCGGGAAACUGGGGCUAAUUCCCCAUAGGAGAGGGAAGCUGGAAGGCUCCCUCCCCGAAAGGAACCGCGUCCGGCACCCGGCGCGAUUCGCCCUAGGAUGGGGCUGCGGUCCAUCAUGGUUGUUGGUGGGGUAAUGGCCCACCAAGCCGAAGACGGAUGGGGGCCGUGAGAGCGGGAGCCCCGAGAUGGGCACUGAGACAAGGGCCCAGGCCCUAUGGGGUGCAGCAGGCGCGAAACCUCCGCAAUGCAGGAAACUGCGACGGGGUUACCCCGAGUGCUACCCGAUGAGGGUAGCUUUUCCCCGGUGUAGAAAGCCGGGGGAAUAAGCGGGGGGCAAGUCUGGUGUCAGCCGCCGCGGUAAUACCAGCUCCGCGAGUGGUCGGGGUGAUUACUGGGCCUAAAGCGCCCGUAGCCGGCCCGGCAAGCCUUGCUCUGAAAUCCCCGGGCUCAACCUGGGGGCUGGGGAAGGUACUGCCGGGCUUGGGGGCGGGAGAGGCCGAGGGUACUCCUGGGGUAGGGGCGAAAUCCGAUAAUCCCAGGAGGACCACCAGUGGCGGAGGCGCUCGGCUGGAACGCGCCCGACGGUGAGGGGCGAAAGCUGGAGGAGCAAAGGGGAUUAGAUACCCCUGUAGUCCCAGCUGUAAACUAUGCGGGCUAGCUGUUGGGCGGGCUUAGAGCCCGCCCAGUGGCGUAGGGAAGCCGUUAAGCCCGCCGCCUGGGGAGUACGGCCGCAAGGCUGAAACUUAAAGGAAUUGGCGGGGGGGCACCACAAGGGGUGAAGCUUGCGGCUUAAUUGGAGUCAACGCCGGA